rnacentral:rRNA from 1 species
AACGAACGCUGGCGGCAUGCCUAACACAUGCAAGUCGAACGAGACCUUCGGGUCUAGUGGCGCACGGGUGCGUAACGCGUGGGAACCUGCCCUUAGGUUCGGAAUAACUCCCCGAAAGGGGUGCUAAUACCGGAUAAUGUCUUCGGACCAAAGAUUUAUCGCCUUUGGAUGGGCCCGCGUUGGAUUAGCUAGUUGGUAGGGUAAAAGCCUACCAAGGCGACGAUCCAUAGCUGGUCUGAGAGGAUGAUCAGCCACACUGGGACUGAGACACGGCCCAGACUCCUACGGGAGGCAGCAGUGGGGAAUAUUGGACAAUGGGCGGAGGCCUGAUGCAGCAAUGCCGGGUGAGUGAUGAAGGCCUUAGGGUUGUAAAGCUCUUUUAACCGGGAUGAUAGUGACGGUACCGGGAGAAUAAGCACCGGCUAACUCCGUG